rnacentral:rRNA from 1 species
GAUGAACGCUGGCGGCGUGCCUAAUACAUGCAAGUCGAGCGAACGGACGAGAAGCUUGCUUCUCUAAUGUUAGCGGCGGACGGGUGAGUAACACGUGGAAACCCAACCUUAAAAACUGGAAAACCUUGGGAAACCCUAACCUAAACCGGAAUAUAUUUUGAAACGGAAGGUUUCAAAGUGAGAGAAGGUUUUGCCGGUACCUAUAGAAGGAUUCGCGCUGCAUUAGCCAGUUGGUAAGGUAACGGCUUACCAAGGCAACGAUGCAUAGCCGACCUGAGAGGGUGAUCGGCCACACUGGAACUGAGACACGGUCCAGACUCCUACGGGAGGCAGCAGUAGGGAAUCUUCCGCAAUGGGCGAAAGCCUGACGGAGCAACGCCGCGUGAGUGAUGAAGGUCUUCGGAUCGUAAAACUCUGUUAUUAGGGAAGAACAUAUGUGUAAGUAACUGUGCACAUCUUGACGGUACCUAAUCAGAAAGCCACGGCUAACUACGUG